UCAGCUCUGCAAACAUGAGGGAACCCCUUCAAUGAAGAUCCAGUAACAAUGUAUUGAGAGAGAGAAAAGGAUGCACCUUAUUUCUACAGCAGACGAUGCAGGGUGCUGUUUUCUGUUCUUUCUUUGGAUGUGAGAAAGUGAUUCAUUUCAGAAAUGGAUGGAUAAUUUUUAAAUGGAGUCUUGGGCAGCAUUUCCAGCUAAAUCAAAGAUAGCUGAGUGACAGUAAAGGAAGACUAAUCUCCAGGCAAUAGUUAUUAUCUAGUAUAAGAACUGUAGGCAAGAAGAAUGGAAUUUUAAAGCUGAGAUUUGGAACCAUCAAGCAACAUCCACGGAGCAUAAUUGUAUUUUCAGGGUACUUGGAAUCCUUUACCUGUUAACACAAAUAUUGUUUCCUGCUUAUGACAAAUGUAGAUUCUUGUGAGAAUGUUGUAGUUAUGUAAAAUCAACUUUGUGGCUGCUUGCAUGAUCAUUUUAACACAGAUGACUUUUUAAAACUUGAUAUGUUGACCACUAGUCAGAGUAGUCAGAGGAAAGGUUUUGUUUUUUGUUUUUGCUAUUUAACAGGGCCAGUGGGCAAUUUUCACUAUAAUCACAGACAUAACAGCACUCCAGAUUGCCCAUGUGCAGUUAAUUACUACACACUGGAAGAGACAGCUUUGGAAUUGACUUUCUGGCAUUAUUUUUCACUGCCCUUGAUAGAUUGAAUAAAAUUGGCAUUCAGGUGUA